rnacentral:lncRNA from 1 species
AACACUUCAACCCUAGCCGGCCACCGCCGAGGCGCUCCCAGUUCUCCACCGAACCGCCGCCACCCCCUUGCAUUGUGUAGCGGCGGCGCCUCCGCCAUCUCUCCUGCGCCGUCGCCCCCCAUCCUCGAGCUGGACGCGGUGGCACGCCUUCACCUUCCUUGGAUCCAGCCAAUAGAAGCUAUGGCCAUGGCAUCUGGCUCCCCUGAGCUUCGUGGAGUGGAGAGGCCAAGGAGGGGAGGCCUCCCCUACUCUUCCUCCCCCUUCCGGAUCCGGCCAGAUCUAGGCUUCAUCGAGUUGGGGACUUCCAGAUCUGGAGCUCCAGGUCAUGGCUACGUGCUGCAUCCACCACAACAGCAACGAAGACGAUGUGACGGGGCUCGGGAGUUCCCGCUGAUGGCGGCGACAUGCUGGAGAAUUUCCUGA